rnacentral:lncRNA from 1 species
AGCUGGCGGUGGGGAGUGCGAAAGCAGCUCGGCCCAGGCGGCUGCAGCACUUUCCUCCCUUCCUGCUGGGAUAUUAUCUCCACCCUCAGGAGUUUAACUUGCUAUGAGGGCCAGCCCUCUUUGACCUGCUCGCUUCUGACGCUAGAAUUGACAUGUAAAGGUGCUUUAAAGCAUCCCCGUGGCUGUCCCGACAAUGGAGUUUUGCAGCACAAUGCCCCAAACCGAUGUCCUCGGCACACCUCCCGGCUCCCAGCUGCGCAGGGCAGGGCUGGCUCUGGUGCUGCACGGCACAGCCUCUCCUCUCCUUUCUGCUGCCUUCUGCCUGCCAUCAUUUCUUCUGCAAGGCAGCCAAGAUGGGGAGGCUGCAGCACAGAUGUUUUAGCACUUGAGUAUACUUGGAAUAAGUAGAACAUGAGCUACAGGAAAUAAGUUGAGGACUCUGGAUAAGAGGUUUAGAGUUCACAAGGACAAGCAAACAGUGGCACAUCUGCAUGUGCUUAAACCAAACACAGAGGGAUCUUUGAGGCACACGUUAUGUUGGUAUCGAACGAUAAUUCAGUUCCUGUAUUUCACAGCACGAAUUCUGUCGAGUCAGGGAUUAGCACGACCUUUCUGUCUUUUAGGUGACGUGAUGUUGCCCUCUCCCGGUCAUACAUGGAAAUGCUUUAUUUCGUUAAAAGAGCGCAGUCAACUCCCGCUUAUGGGAGCCGAAGUCUGUGUUGAGCUCCC